rnacentral:rRNA from 1 species
UACGUAGGGUGCGAGCGUUGUCCGGAAUUAUUGGGCGUAAAGAGCUUGUAGGCGGUUUGUCGCGUCUGCUGUGAAAAUCCGGGGCUCAACCCCGGACUUGCAGUGGGUACGGGCAGACUAGAGUGUGGUAGGGGAGACUGGAAUUCCUGGUGUAGCGGUGGAAUGCGCAGAUAUCAGGAGGAACACCGAUGGCGAAGGCAGGUCUCUGGGCCAUUACUGACGCUGAGAAGCGAAAGCAUGGGGAGCGAACAGG